rnacentral:tRNA from 1 species
AAUCCAGUGGCCUAAAAGGGUAAGGCACUGGCCUCUAACCAGGGAUUGUGGGUUUGAGCCCCACCUGGGGUA